UCUGGUGAGACGCAGCGGCUGCAGUUGUGAUCUGGCUCCACAUGCACAGAAAUGCAUCUGUCCUCUCCUUCCUCUCUGGUGCCUCCUCCAUCCCUUCCUCUCUCUGGAGCUUUUCAGGCACAAAUGCAUCAACCGGACAAGCAAGGGUCAGAGAGAGGAACGUGUAAAAGCAAAGAAGGAAAAGCUGGCCCUCCCUGCCUACCUGCUUGAGGGAGAAGGUGCCGCUCUGUGGUUUUGCGGUGCGGGGAGGGGAUGUGAGAACACCAACCCGGCGUGGGGCUCAAUGAGGAAGGAUGUGCCAGGAGGAGCAGGGCAGGGCUCUUUUCAGCCUGGGCUUCAGGUGAGAAGUUGACACAUUCCCACUAAAGCUGCCUCAUAAAAGCUGGAACUAUAU
rnacentral:lncRNA from 1 species